rnacentral:rRNA from 1 species
CUCUGUGACUCCUACGGGAGGCAGCAGUGGGGAAUAUUGCACAAUGGGCGCAAGCCUGAUGCAGCCAUGCCGCGUGUGUGAAGAAGGCCUUCGGGUUGUAAAGCACUUUCAGUUGUGAGGAAGGUGGUGUCGUUAAUAGCGGCAUCAUUUGACGUUAGCAACAGAAGAAGCACCGGCUAACUCCGUGCCAGCAGCCGCGGUAAUACGGAGGGUGCGAGCGUUAAUCGGAAUUACUGGGCGUAAAGCGCAUGCAGGUGGUUUGUUAGGUCAGAUGUGAAAGCCCGGGGCUCAACCUCGGAACUGCAUUUGAAACUGGCAGACUAGAGUACUGUAGAGGGGGUAGAAUUUCAGGUGUAGCGGUGAAAUGCGUAGAGAUCUGAAGGAAUACCGGUGGCGAAGGCGGCCCCCUGGACAGAUACUGACACUCAGAUGCGAAAGCGUGGGGAGCAAACAGGAUUAGAUACCCUGGUAG